GACAGAGGGUGCAAACGUUGUUCGGAAUUACUGGGCGUAAAGCGCGUGUAGGCGGCCAUGCAAGUCGGAUGUGAAAGCCCUUGGCUCAACUGAGGAAGUGCAUCCGAAACUGGCAGGCUAGAGUACGUAAGAGGGUCGCGGAAUUCCCGGUGUAGAGGUGAAAUUCGUAGAUAUCGGGAGGAACACCGGUGGCGAAGGCGGCGACCUGGGACGAUACUGACGCUGAGGUGCGAAAGCGUGGGGAGCAAACAGG
rnacentral:rRNA from 1 species